rnacentral:misc_RNA from 1 species
CUGAAAUGCCUAACGCAGGGCCCCGCGCCUCUGUGCAAGCAUUAUACCCACCCUUGACUUUGAGCACCGUAUGUUUCCUCGGCGGGGACGCCCGCCAUCGAGGACUCUCCAAACCCUUUGCAGUAGCAGUAUUUGUCUGAAAACACAAAACUAUUA